ACGAAGGUGGCAAGCGUUGUUCGGAUUUACUGGGCGUACAGGGAGCGUAGGCGGUUUGGUAAGCCCUCCGUGAAAUCUUCGGGCUCAACCCGGAAAGUUCAGAGGGGACUGCCAGGCUAGAGGACGGGAGAGGAGCGCGGAAUUCCCGGUGUAGCGGUGAAAUGCGUAGAGAUCGGGAGGAAGGCCGGUGGCGAAGGCGGCGCUCUGGAACGUUUCUGACGCUGAGGCUCGAAAGCGUGGGGAGCAAACAGGAUUAGAAACCCCUGUAGUCC
rnacentral:rRNA from 1 species